AUGACCAAUCCUUUAAGAAAUGAUUCCAUCAACCUAUCAUGAAACUAACACUUUUAACUGAAGCAUGCAUGAACUCAAAUCAUUAUGUAACUUGUUCGAAAAUAAUUACAUCUAUUUUUACGUAUGAAAUUCAAUCAAGAGUAAUAAUGAUAGUCCAUAUAGUCCAUGAGUGUGUCUACUAUUCAUAUAACAUAAAGCAAAUAACUAAUAUCAACUACCUCUACUUAACUACAAUCUAUCAAAUUGAAAACAACAUACAACCUACAACUGAACGUAGAUCUAUGAACAUUUUCAUUUCAAUUUCAGUGAGCUACAUAAAGGCAAUUCGAAGAAGUGUACCUGGACAGAAUAAAAAUAAAGAAUAGGUGAGUUAGAUAAGCAGUGAAUAUCAGAAUUUCAAAACCUUGGCGACCAGAUCAAUUUGACUUCAAAAGGAUCACAAUAGUCCCAUGACUGAUUAACAAUAGAUUACACACCAAACAGCAAGCCAAACCACGUACAAUUGGAUCAAAUUCUACCCGAAAUCAACCACAGUGCUGUGGACUCAAACUAAACCAGAUUUAAGAGAUGCUAAAGUCAUUUCCAACCUUCUGUUGAUUAUGAUUUGAUCUAGAGAUAAAUUUCAAACUUCAAUUCUAAGGAUUUCCCAAUGAAACAGUGCUAUUUUGGAUUUUCGAUGGUUUUUUUCUUUUCUUGAAGAAGUUAAAAUCUAAAAGAAUGUUUGAACUGAAAUUUAAUUGCAGAUCUAGAGGUUUGAGGAGUAUUUUAGAGGGGAUUUUUGUGAGCUCAAACUUGUAAAUGAAGGUACUGUGGCUGCCUUUUAUAGGCAACAAGAGAAGCAAUUUCAGAUUUCCCAUUUUACACAAUAGUCCCUUACUUACUUUCAGUUGAGUCCCUUAGUUAUUAACUUGUUACUCAAGUAAACCUACUAACUUCCUAAUAUUAGAACUAAAUAUAUAUUCUAGAAUAUUAUAGCAUAUUCUUGGGUGUUCCUUUUCAAUUACUACAACAUUCUGUUCAAUCCUAAGUACACAAAUACCCUUGAAGUUAAACAGAAUUUGCAGCUAUAACCAAACGACUUUCCAAAUCUGAAUUAAACUCAACUGAACAAAUUUAAUCCGAAUUCACCACCUAUAUAAUUAUUUAUUAAAAUCAGUAUUGAAGAUUGGAAUUAAAAAAAAAUCAAUUAUUAAACUCUACUAAACUUAACCAAUAGAGGAUGAGAAAAUCAAAGAAUAGGGACCGACUAAUAGAAUUACCUACAAUAAAAUAAUCACCAACAAAACCACAUAAAUCAAAAAUUAAACUGAGAUAAAGCUUAACAUGCAAAGGCAUGGACUAAUCAAGACGAACAUAUUAGUCGCAAAAAGAAGAAAAACAAUUGAUUUAAGAUGAACACCUAGGCUUAAAGUACUUGAACACUUACCAAAACUUAAAUUCAAAUAUAAAAACAAGAACAGAAAACCAGAAGAGAAAACUUACUAACCAACUCUCAAAUUCAAAAUUCGCCCGAUUCUAGUAGGAUUUGAACUCCAAUAAUGCAGAAAUCCUUAUGGGGGAAAGGGAGGGGAUCACAGGGUAUUAAUUUGAAGUGGUUUGGGGAAAUUAGAGUUUUUACUGGAAAACAUUCAAACCAAUAUUUGAACGGUUCAGCCCAUAUUCGAGGGACGGGGUUAAAGGGUUUGAUAGAUGAGGUUGAGGUGAUUCUAUGGUAUUAAUUUGGUAUCAUUUGGAUGAGGUGACGUCAUUGCCGGAAAAUCUUCAAAUGAAGAUUCGACGGAUUCAAGUAAGAUUCAAAGGAAAAGGACAGUGGAUUCGGAUAGAGGAGGAGAUGGGAGUUCAUGGUGUUAUUUUGUAGCGAAACGGAGACGAGGCUGCCAUCGGCGAUGAUUUCCGGCCGGCGGCGUUACAGGGUUCAAUUUAGUGUAUGAUGAAGGAGAUGAGAUAGGGGGAGGGGAAGUGGGGCUUUCCGACCGUUUCAUAUUAGUGAAGGAUCAGCUCCUGGCUGUUUAUCUAGAUAUCCUAGAUGGCCCGGAUUAGCCCUUAUGGAGCGUCUUUGGGUAAUAGGGUCGGACCAGGUAAGGGUUAAUUGGGCCUGGGCGUAGGGUUCUUUGUUUGGGCCUAGGCAAUUCUGGCCCAAUGUUUGUACCUUAUCACGAACAUACUUUUGAAUUAUUUUUUCAUUUAUUUCUUUUAUUUCCUUUUUAUUUUGAUUUUUUCUAUUUUUCCGACUUUAUAAAAAUACAAAAAUUUAAAAAAAGUCCUAAUAUAUUUCCAAGUUAAGCUAAUUCAUUCCUAAAAUUAUUUAAAUCAUAUUUAAAAUAAACUCAUGACAAAUUCAACAAUUAACAAUAAAAAAAUGUAAAAAUGGACUAUUUUUUGUUAUUUUCUUUGUAUUUUGUUCUAAAUAACUUAACCGCUAAUUUAUCCUAAAAUAUAAAAUUAAAUCCUAAAUGCAAAUGCCAAGUUUACUUUUUUUAUAUUUUCAUAUGAAUUAAAAUGCACGAAUAAAAUGUAAACAAUUAACAGAAAAUAACACAAAAUUCACAAACUGGCCAAAUAAUGAAAGAAAAUUAUUUUGUUUGAAUUUUUGGGAAUAAUUCACAUAGGAAAAAAAUCACGUGCUCACAGCUGCCCUCUUUGCCAUGAAAUAUGAAGAGUUUUUGUAAAGAUAAGUGAGCGGAAACGAGCAAUUUUUACCUGUUUGAAUAUUCUGCUGUGAAGCAUUUUUGAAAGAGUUUCUCGCACCCUGCUUCAGAGGUUGCCUACAUAUCCUUGGCUAAAAAGGAAUCUGGUCGGUGUAGUUCGAGAAUGUCUGGUAGUUGGGACUACCAAGAGCUGUGAUUUCACUGUAAUUGCUGCUGCUACUGCUUACUGACCUCCCUUAUUACACCGUGUCAAAAUAAAAGAAGGUGAACUAAACUAUGACCUAUGAAUUACAAAAAACAAGAUCCUAUCUAUUGUCUUCAAACUUAUGCUUGUACUUCUUGUUGCCUUGCUGUCUUGUGUUCUCUUGGUGAAAUCCAUUGUUGCCACUUCAAAUUGCAAACUGAGAUAUUGUUCCUUCUAUUCAAAUUGCUAAACUUGAAUGUAUUCCCUUGUUGUACGGGUGGGCUCCAGACUUCUGAAUUUGAACUUGAAUGUACUCCCUUGUUAUAUGGGUGUGGUUCCGACUUCUGAAUUUGAACUUAAAUGUAUUCCCUUAUUAUACGGGUGGGCUCGCGACUUCUGAAUUUCAAUUUGAAUGUAUUCCUUCGUUAUGCGGGUGGGCUCCUGACUUCUAAAUUUGAACUUGAGUGUAUUACCUUGUUAUAUGGGUGGGCUCCCGACUUCUGAAUUUGAACUUGAAUGUAUUCCCUUGUUAUGCGGAUGGGCUCCCGACUUCUGAAUUUGAACUUGAAUGUAUUCCCUUGUUAUGCGGGCGGGCUCCCGACUUCUGAAUUUGAACUUGAAUGUAUUCCUUUGUUAUACUGGUGGGUUCCUGACUUCAAAGCUUGAAAUGUAUUCUCCUAUUCCCCAGGCGGCUCCUGACUUCACAAAAUACAAACAAAGAAGACUUCCUGCCCUAGUUUGGAAACAGGGUACAUGUCACCAGACAUUAACAAGAAUUAGAAACUAAAACUCGAAUUGUAAUACCUAUGUUUUUCAGGCAGACUCCUAAUUUCAAAACUUGAAAAUGUAUUCCUCUGUUAUCCAUGCGGGCUCCUGAUUUCAACAAAAUUUACGACAACAAGGAAACUUUUCUGCCCCGAUUUGGUAGCUGGGCACACGGAUGAACGUUACCGAAUUAUGUACCAACUAUUAUUAAGAAUUUGAAAGCUAAAUCCUAUUAUUCAGAGAGGAACUACGAACCUAAGUUAUAUCUUCGAAAGUAUUACUCUCACUACAUCAUGUCAUCUACAAGGAUGUUAAACUACAUCCUAUUAUCCAGGAAGGUCCUGACCGCUCAUACUUGAAUUUUAUCCUAAACAUGCAACCUUUCAUUCCUGUAUGUUAUUCAUGAAUGUCUUGUAUUUUAGUCAUACCACAUUUUGGGGUCAAACCUUAUUACUAUUUGUUUUUCCCUCAUGGAAAAUUCCCCCGAAACAAUCGAAUUUUCCUGCUCCUGUUUUAAUCAAAAAAAAUUUCGUUAGUUUAAAAUGGUGGUUAGUUGAUGGCAUUCUUGCUGAAAAUCCUUCCGCCGCAUCGCUCUGUUUUGACCGGCUUCCUCGAACUAGCUCUAAAUUGCUUGACUUUUCGAAUGACUUUCAAACUCUGACUUUUGACCACCCGAAUGUUCUGUACCCAUACUGUUGUUUCACGCCUCUGACCCCCUUUCUGAAGUUUUACAUUUCCCACAAUAUUUCCCAAUCAUUCCACCGAUGAAACUUCCGGUUAUUCCCCAUACUCCAAUUUACCUCAUGUUAUUGCUGACAUGCUCUGACCACAUUGUACUUUACCAUUUUCGGAAGCUGGUAGCGAGCUUUGAAAUCCUUUCUACUUUGCAUUGAACAAAAUUGACAUUGAACAUCUUAGACAGAUUAAACCCCCAAAAGAAAAUGAAAUGCAAUGAUUUUAUGAGUUAAGGAUAAGAAGAAUCCAAACUGGAUGAUUGCUAAAAGAGAAGGAAAAUAAACUUAUCUGAUCGAAAUAGCUGGCAUCAAUGGUCAUGACAUGCACUCCGCACUAAUCGGCCCAAUCUGUCUAACUAAACAACUCUUGGUCGCCAUACUUUGUUGCCCCUGAAUUUCCAUCACUUGAUUACUUUACCAAAACCUUAGCCUUGUUCAUCCUGCGGUGCCUCGAAACAGUUUUCCACCAGCAUACCUCUCUUAUUUGUUCAUUUUUAACUCAUUUUCGCCUUAAGGUGCCCGCAAGGAUUUUCACCAAUAAGACUCUCACAUUUUUAUUUCUCUCGGCUUCGUCACCUUACGGUGCCCGCGAGGGCUUUCACCAAUAAGACUCUCUCAUUUUAAUUUUUCCUACUUGGACCAGAGUGUUGCCCCAGACAUGAAUUUCCUAUACAUGCUUGACUUGGCAUUUCUCAAAGACUGAUCAAAAGGUCUUUCUUUGGACCGUAAUGUGGGCUUUUGGAUGGUGUUUGAAAGAAAGGGUAUAAAAUGCUAAAAAACAACUACAAAUUGGCUAAAGUUACAACUUUCAGAAUCAUAUCUUUCCAAAACAAUCACAACUUCUACCCCAGUUUCUUGCUAGGGACUUUUGAAUUUUAUAUUGGUAUGACUGAACCUCAAAGUAAAGCUGCCUACGUACCCUUUCGGGAUCAAGUCACACGUAGUUCAUGUAAUAGUAAUUACUUUGUUGUGAUCUUCUUUCUUCUUUUCUUUUAUUUUCUGUUCUUCUUUUAUUUCUUUUCAUUUUUCAUUUUUUUUCCUUUUCCUUUUCUCUUUCUUUUUUCUUUCUUUCAUUUUCUUCUUUUUCCUUUCCUUUUCUUCCUUCUUUUCUUUCCAUUUGCUUAUCUCCGGCACUAGUGUUUCUUAAUCGUGUCGUUGAUUCCGAAAGAGGGAUACGAAAGAAAAUAUGUAAGGCUCAAAGGGGAUGACAAGGGAUAAAUGUGUUGGGAUAUCAGAAUAAAAUGCCUUCAUCAUUUUAAUCUUCAAAAUAUGCCAAAUACAAACAAGCACAAUCAAAAUAAAGAAAUCAUACAUAGUAUCUCUUGACCGCAUCGGAAUAGAUGGCCAUUUCUACACAUUUUUCUUCCACAUCUGUUAGAUAUAAUACACCAUUAUAUAAUACUCUGUUUACAAUGAAUGACCCCGCCAGUUUGGGGCGAAAUUUCCUUUUGCUUUAGCCCAAUGAGGCAAAAUACGUCUCACCACUAAUUGUCCGACUUCAAACUUCCUCGGAUGCACUUUCUUGUUGUAUGAUCUUGCCAUUGUUUGCUGGUACAGUUGUCCAUGAAACACUGAUGCCAACUUUUUCUCAUCUAUCAAACUCAAAUGUUCUAGGUGGGUUUUCAUCCAUUCUUCAUCAUCGAUCUCAUCAUCCACGAUAAUUCGAAGGGACGGGAUUUCCACUUCCGCGGGUAUCACUACCUCGGUGCCAUACACCAAUGAAUAAGGAGUCGCCCCUACUGAAGUACGAACAGUGGUGUGGUACCCCAACAAUGCAAAAGGAAGCUUUUCAUGCCACUGUCUUGAACCUUGUACCAUAUUCCGCAGUAUUUUCUUUAUAUUUUUGUUGGCUGCCUCAACCGCACCAUUGGCCUUAGGGUGGUAUGGCGUAGAAUGACGAUGGGUAAUCUUGAACUGCUCACACGUUUCCUUCAUCAAAUGAAUAUUGAGAUUCGCUCCAUCAUUUGUAAUGAUCACAUUUGGUAUCCCAAACCGACAGAUAAUGUUCGAAUGCACAAAAUCCACCACAACUUUAUUGGUCACAGAUUUGAACAUUUAGCCUCUACCCACUUGGUAAAAUAGUCUAUAGCUACAAAAAUGAACCUGUGCCCAUUUGACGCUGCUGGCUCAAUUGGCCCAAUAACAUCCAUUCCCCAUGCAACAAAAGGCCAUUGUGCGAACAUCGUGUGUAAUUCCGAGGGUGGAGAAUGAAUAAAGUCUCCAUGCACCUGACACUGAUGACAUUUGCGUACAUAGCUGAUGCACUCUCGCUCCAUAGUGAGCCAAUAAUAUCCCGCUCGGAGAAUCUUCUUUGGUAAAACAUACCAGCUCAUAUGUGGUCCAAUAACUCCGGCAUGUACCUCAGUCAUGAUAGAUGUGGCCUGUUUAGCAUCAAUGCAUCUUAACAACCUGAGGUCUGGAGUUCUUUUGUACAACACUCCUCCACAAAGGAAAAACCUGCUUGCCAGCUGUCGAAUUGUUCGUUUCUGAUCACCUGUGGCCUGUACCAGAUACACACCCAUCCUGAUAUAUUCCUUGAUAUCAUGAAACCACAGCUCGCCAUCUAGUUCCUCUUUUACCACAUUACAGUAAGCAUGCUGAUCACGAACCUGGAUUUGAAAAGGGUCCAUAUAAGUCUUAUCUGGAUGAUGUAACAUUGAUGCCAAAGUAGCCAACGCAUCGAAAACUUCAUUAUGAAUCCUUGGAAUGUGCUUGAACUCUAUUGACUAAAACCGUUGACAAAACUCAUGCAAACAUUGUUGGUACGGUAUAAGCUUUAAGUCCCGUGUUUCCCAUUCUCCUUGAAUUUGGUGUACCAGUAGGUCCGAGUCACCCAUGACCAAGACUUACUAGACACCCAUAUCUACAGCUAACCUCAGCCCCAAGAUACAUGCAUCAUAUGCUGCCAUGUUGUUCGUACAAUAGAAAUGAAGCUGAGCCGUAACAGGAUACUGUUGCCCUAUUUCCGAAAUAAGUACCACUCUUAUUCCCACGCCUUUCCUAUUUGCAUCCCUAUCAAAGUAAAGUUUCCAUCCUGGAUUCUCAACUUGUUCCAACUCCAAUAUGCAUCACUCUUCAUCAGGGAAAUACAUUUUCAAAGGUUCAUAAUCUUCAUCAACUGGAUUCUCGACCAAAUGAUCCGUCAAGUCUUAUGGUCUACAGCUGAUCUCAACCCUAAGAUACAUGCCUCAUAUUCUACCAUGUUAUUCGUACAAUUGAAACGAAGCGGAGCUGUAACAGGGUAGUGUUGCCCUGUUUCAGAAAUAAGUACCGCUCCUAUUCCCACGCCUUUAAUGUUUGCAGCCCCAUCAAAGCAAAGUUUUCAUACCGACUUAUCAACUUGUUCCAACUCAUCAAUCUACAUCACCUCUUCAUCAGGGAAGUAAGUCUUCAAUAGUUCAUAAUCUUCAUCAACUGGAUUCUCAGCCAAGUGAUAAGCUAAUGCCUGUGAUUUCAUCGCAGUCUGUGUCACAUAAAUAAUAUCGAACUCCGUAAGCAAGAUCUGC
rnacentral:lncRNA from 1 species